GACGAAGGGGGCUAGCGUUGUUCGGAAUUACUGGGCGUAAAGCGCGUGUAGGCGGUUGUCCAAGUCGGGGGUGAAAGCCUUGAGCUCAACUCAAGAAAUGCACUCGGUACUGAGUGACUAGAGGACCGGAGAGGAUAGUGGAAUUCCCAGUGUAGUGGUGAAAUACGUAGAGAUUGGGAAGAACACCAGUGGCGAAGGCGGCUAUCUGGACGGUUUCUGACGCUAAGACGCGAAAGCGUGGGGAGCAAACAGG
rnacentral:rRNA from 1 species